UCUAUACAAUGUUUAUGGAAUAAUUGAUAUAAAAGUACGAUGAACGCUUUGUAAGAAUUUCCAUUCUGUUUUUGCAUAUAGUUAGGUAUGUACAAUCAGACGUGUUGCAUUUAAGUUUAAACUCGAGUUUAGUAAGUUUAGGUACUUCGAAAUAAUUUUCGGCCAAACUUGGAAGAAAUUUUACGUGGUUUUUCAAAUUCAGUUAAACGAGAUUCACAGAUUGAUAGCAGAGCAAACGUGAAGUGGGUAACAAUGAUUACGUUACCAAGUUUCUCUUCGUCAUUGGCUGUUCUCCUGAUAUGCAGCUUCAUUCCGUUCACCGUGCCAUUAUCAUUUCAGUACGAUUACAUAUUGACUGGUCCAAUUGAAAAUGUACUUUUUUUACCUGAAAACGUCAAUUUUUUCGUUCAAGAAGACGCUGGAACAGUAUGUUACAUCUCUGUCGACGAUAAUGUUAUAUCCACGGCCUUUGGUACCCGGCGUAAAUAUCAUAAGUGUGAAGACAAGAAUUUAUGUCUAUUUUCUGACAACGCUUUCAUACAAGAGCACAAAGUUGAUGUUUUUGCCGUCUAUAACAAUGGUACCAACAAAGUAACCGGAAUACAGUAUUCUGGCAGAAACGUAACUGAAUAGAGGAUCAGAAGGACCGGGACUAUUGAACCAUUUGCAAAUAAAUAAUAUAACUUGCGAAUAUAGCAGGUUGAUUUUUUGUCCCAUGCUAUUGCUAGCUUUUAAUUAGGUAUUUAUGAAUUAUUGAAAAUUGAAGUCAAUAAAAUAUAUUCGUUGAUGCCUCAAAAAA